rnacentral:lncRNA from 1 species
GUAAAUUGCUUUUCAAUGUAAAAUAUGAGAGAGAAUAAAGACAAAAUGUAAAAUAACCCAUCUAUGUUGUAUUCCUAAGUCAGGAUGAUGGCGGACAGAGUGUUAAAGCACUCAGAGGAGUGUAAAGAUCCUCCUCAGCUCUUUACAUACUAUCAAGGUGACAUCAACGCUGCAGUGGAUGAGCACUUCUUCCGUGCCCUGAAUAAAGCAACCACACCAAAAGACCUCAGUACUAAAGCCAAGGACAGCAAUAGGAUUCCCAAAUCUGAUGUUCCCUCAUCAUCAUGGGCUUCUUCUGGUCUAACAUGGUCUAAGUCCACACACUCUUCCGGCUCCUCAAAUCUGGCCCAGUUGAUAACCAUGAAACCUCCACCUCCAUCCCAGGGAGAUAUUGUGAAUCCUUCAGUACUGUCACCAUCAUCAUCAUCAUCCUCCUCCUCCUCGUCCCUCUGGCCAUGUCCACCCAGACAGGGCACAGCCUUCGAACUGCCUCAAAUACUCUACCAACAGCCCAUGGCUGCUGAGAGCAGUGCCAGCUCUUACCUGGACCUGUUACAAAUGGAUCGGCCAACAGGGGGCAUCAUGAUCUCGCCCUUCUCAAAAUCAGAAACCAGACCAGAGUGGAAUUCUGGGACGACCUUUAAGGAUGGAAGCAGGAUAGGCCUAGAUUCAGGUGUGCCUGUGUCAGAAAUCAGUAAGGAUUUGUACUGGUAUUGAAGAAGCGAUCUCUGGCUCUAUGACGAAAAUAUAUUUUCAGC